AGAGUUUGAUCCUGGCUCAGAUUGAACGCUGGCGGCAUGCUUUACACAUGCAAGUCGAACGGCAGCGGGGGCUUCGGCCUGCCGGCGAGUGGCGAACGGGUGAGUAAUGCAUCGGAACGUACCCAGUCGUGGGGGAUAACUACGCGAAAGCGUGGCUAAUACCGCAUACGCCCUGAGGGGGAAAGCGGGGGACCUUCGGGCCUCGCGCGAUUGGAGCGGCUGAUGUCGGAUUAGCUAGUUGGUGGGGUAAAGGCCUACCAAGGCGACGAUCCGUAGCUGGUCUGAGAGGAUGAUCAGCCACACUGGGACUGAGACACGGCCCAGACUCCUACGGGAGGCAGCAGUGGGGAAUUUUGGACAAUGGGCGAAAGCCUGAUCCAGCCAUGCCGCGUGAGUGAAGAAGGCCUUCGGGUUGUAAAGCUCUUUCAGACGGAAAGAAAUCGGGCGAGCCAAUACCUCGCCUGGAUGACGGUACUGUCAGAAGAAGCACCGGCUAACUACGUGCCAGCAGCCGCGGUAAUACGUAGGGUGCGAGCGUUAAUCGGAAUUACUGGGCGUAAAGCGUGCGCAGGCGGUUGUGUAAGACAGGUGUGAAAUCCCCGGGCUUAACCUGNGAACUGCGCUUGUGACUGCACGGCUAGAGUACGGCAGAGGGGGGUGGAAUUCCACGUGU
rnacentral:rRNA from 1 species